rnacentral:misc_RNA from 1 species
AUUUGACAAUCAUUUUACAAAGUAUAUUCAUAAAGAUUUCUAACUUAUGGGUUGUGUUUUGUGCAAGUUCUGUGAGUAAUGCAUCCUCAAAGUAGAUGCGUAGAUGCAGUGAUAUUUUGCGAGUGAAAUUGGAUAUUUUCAUACCAUGAGUUGCAUGGUUGUUGCAUAUAUCCUUUGCUUCAUCAAGGCAUUGUGCUCUAAAACUAGAAAUAAUAUUAACUCUCCAUGCUUGUUUAUAUACUGCAUGUAAUUUUCUAACUGACAGUGUAAAUGACUGAAGAAGCAUGCUUGCAAAGUUUUCAGACGGUACUUAAGUUCUCAUAUACAGAAAAGUUUCCUUGAAUCAUGCCAAGGCAGUGGAGCAUUCUGAUUUUGUUUAUGCUUUGUUUAUUAUUUCAUCGACAAAAAAAUGCACAUACUUGUAUAUUCUGGUAUUCUACUUUGCAAUUUAUUCUCUGUUAACGUUUUGCUAAAUGCUUAAACAGG